rnacentral:rRNA from 1 species
AAUGAACGCUGGCGGCAUGCCUAACACAUGCAAGUCGAACGAGACCUUCGGGUCUAGUUGCGCACGGGUGCGGAACGUGGGGGAACCUUCCCUUAGGUAUGGGAUAACUCUCUGACAGGGGUGCUAAUACCGGAUAAUGUAUUCGGACCAAAGAUUUAACCCCCUUGGGGGGGCGCGCGUUGGUUUAGCUAGUUGGGAGGGUAAAAGCCUAUCAGGGCGACGAUCCAUAGCUGGUCUGAGAGGAAGAUCAGCCACACUGGGGCUGAGACGCGGUCGAGACUCCUGCGGGAUGGGGGAGAGGGGGAUACAGGAAAACGGGGGAGAGGAUGAUGCAGCAAUGGCGGGAAAGUGCUGAAGGUCUUAGGGUUGUACAGCUGUUUUACCCGGGGUGGUAAUGACGGUACCGGGAGAAUAAGCACCGGCUAACUCCGUG